UACAGAGGGGGCAAGCGUUGUUCGGAAUUACUGGGCGUAAAGGGCUCGUAGGCGGUUUGUCGCGUCGGGAGUGAAAACUCAGGGCUUAACCCUGAGCCUGCUUCCGAUACGGGCAGACUAGAGGUAUGCAGGGGGAGAACGGAAUUCCUGGUGUAGCGGUGAAAUGCGCAGAUAUCAGGAGGAACACCGGUGGCGAAGGCGGUUCUCUGGGCAUUACCUGACGCUGAGGAGCGAAAGUGUGGGGAGCGAACAGG
rnacentral:rRNA from 1 species